AGUCCUAGAGCGGGACAGCUCGUCCUGCUCCGCGCGGGCCCUUGGCGCAGGGAGCCGGCUGUGGCCGCGGCGCCCCUCAGUCCCCUGCUCGCCCCAGCCGGCCGGUGUGGGACGGUUCCGUCGGUUCCGGUUCCCUAUGUUACUCCUGAAACCGUGCACCUCAGAUUGGGACUUGAACCCACGCAGCAGGGACUUGAACCCAGCCAAAACCCAGCUUGGGACGGGCACCCACGCGGCAGGGACUUGAACCCGGCCAAAACCGACAGUCUUCCAACUGACAUCACACACCUGGUUUCAGGACUUAAUGAAGCUCAGGUUCUUGAUGUGUCAUCGCAGAAAGAAUUCAGUGAGAGACAAAGUGUUAGGUGAGAAGUGGAUUUAUUUAGAGAGGUACACACUCCACAGACAGAGUGUGGGCCAUCUCAGAAGACUAUGAGCUCCACGAGGUCUGGAAUGGAGCCUGUCUUGCCCACUGCGAUAUCCUUAUUACCAAGUACAACAAAAUCAUCCUGGGCAUUUCAACGAGGGAAUUUAAAACAGGGAAUUGGCUACACAGGAAAUGCACAGAGGCCCACUUUCCACCCAUCCACUCCCAGCCAGGGAGGCUGGCGCAUAUGGACAUUAUCAACAUACUCCGAUGCCUCCAGCUUCUGGUUGGGAUCGGCUGGUGGAAAGCAUCAGCAGGACAUGGAGAUGGAGGGCUCAGAGGAAGGUGCAGGAGGAGAAGGGGAGAAGGUCCUAUUUGUCCCUGCUUGCUGCCCUGAUGGGCAGGGUUUCCUCCACGUGGGACAGAGCCUGGGGGCUCUGGCUGUCUCUCCUACGCAAAGGAUCAGGAUUUGAAGAUGUAUUAUCUCAGCUGCUGGGAGAAAGCUGUCAACAGUCAACCCCCUUAGGGAUUUCUUUAGCUGAAGAGCGCCCUUCUUCCAGCAGCCCACAUCCAGUGAUCGAUGAAUGAGUGGAAAGGAGCCCAGCCCUCUCACCCCAGCUCAGGAGAGCUCUGAAGGGCCAUCCCAUCUUCAGAGCUCCCCGCAGGACUGACUGAGACGUUCCCUUGAGACUGCAUUCAGCUAGACUUCAUCCUUUGCCCAACCCUGCUUCCCUCUCUUCCUAACAAACCUCCUACAUGUUAAUCUCCAUCUCAGAGUCUGCUUCCUGGGAAACCCAAGCAGGGAUAGUGGGUACCCAGGAGUGGUCUAAGAAAACAGAUGAUGAGACAGGGUUUUAGAGCUGGGUUACUGGCCACCCAACUGGCAUCACUGUUAGGAGUGGUUGCCUUUCAGGAAUGAAAUCGGCAAGUUUUUUUUUAAAGAAAAAUGUAUAUCUUUCUGUAAUAUUUGACUUAUCAUAUCCAUGUAUCAUAUUGCUUUCAUUUAUAAAUGGUUAAUUGCAAAUGUCUGAGAUGUGGUAUUAUAAGCCAUUUAAAUUUCAUUCUUUACAUUUUUUGUUUUAAAAAUGAUUGAAUGCUAUUUAAGAAUAUUGAGAAAUCAGGAAAAGAAGUGGGGAGAGGGUUAAUAUUUUGUUCCUGC